GUGCCUGCCUCGCCUUUCCCCUCGGCCCGGGGGCUCGCAGCGGCCCGGCCCCCCACCCCCCGUCCCCGCCGCCGUCGGCGCGCCCGCCCCCUCACACCCCCCACCCUCCUCGCGGCGCCGCCGCCCCCGUCUCGCUCUCCCCACCCAGUGCAGUGGCCGCCGCCUCUUCCGCCGCCGGGCUCCGGGCCUCCGCACCGACAACAUGGAGGCUGUGAAAACCUUCAAUAGCGAGUUGUAUUCCCUGAAUGACUACAAGCCACCCAUUUCUAAAGCGAAAAUGACCCAAAUUACUAAGGCAGCCAUCAAAGCUAUAAAGUUCUAUAAACAUGUGGUACAGAGUGUUGAGAAAUUCAUUCAGAAAUGUAAACCAGAAUAUAAGGUACCUGGACUUUAUGUUAUUGACUCUAUUGUACGACAAUCUCGACAUCAGUUUGGUCAAGAAAAGGAUGUGUUUGCACCCAGAUUUAGUAAUAACAUCAUUAGCACUUUCCAGAAUUUAUACCGUUGCCCUGGAGAUGACAAGAGUAAAAUAGUGAGAGUGUUAAACUUAUGGCAGAAGAAUAAUGUAUUUAAGAGUGAGAUUAUUCAGCCUCUUCUGGAUAUGGCAGCAGGGAUUCCGCCUCCAGUUGUCACACCUGUUCUGGCCAGUACUACUGCUGCUAUGAGCAAUACUCCAGGAACUCCUGUGACACCUGUUACUCCAGCCAAUGUGGUCCAAGGUUUACCUGAUCCAUGGGUGUCUCAGAUAACAAAUACAGAUACACUUGCAGCAGUAGCUCAGAUCUUACAGAGUCCUCAAGGCCAACAGCUUCAGCAGUUAAUACAGACUUUACAGAUACAGCAGCAGAAGCCUCAGCCCUCCAUCCUGCAAGCCCUGGAUGCUGGUCUUGUUGUCCAGCUGCAGGCUCUUACAGCACAGCUUACAGCAGCAGCUGCAGCAGCCAACACCCUCAAUCCCCUAGAACAGGGGGUGUCUUUUAACAAGAAGUUGAUGGAUAGGUUUGAUUUUGGGGAAGAUUCUGAGCAUAGUGAAGAACCCAAAAAGGAAAUUCCAGCUUCUCAACUUUCUCAUGUUUCGGAAUCUGUGAACAAUUCCAUCUUUCAUCAGAUAGCAGAACAACUGCAGCAGCAAAAUCUUGAACAUCUCAGACAGCAGCUCCUGGAACAGCAACAGCCUCAAAAGGCAACUCCUCAGGAUAGUCAAGAAGGAACAUUUGGGUCAGAACAUUCUGCAUCACCGUCACAAGGAAGCAGUCAGCAGCAUUUCCUUGAACCUGAAGCAAAUUUGGAUGAUUCCAUAGAUAUUCAGCAACAGGACAUGGACAUAGAUGAAGCGCAAGAUGCAGUGGAAGAGGAGAUCUUUGAACAGGAAGCAAAGAAAGUGGCUGUUCGUUCAAGAUCAAGAACACACUCCCGAUCUCGUUCAAGAUCACCAAGAAAACGAAGGUCUAGGUCACGAUCUGGUUCUCGAAAGCGUAAGCACAGAAAGCGAUCACGCUCCCGCUCUAGAGAAAGAAAAAGGAAAUCAUCACGUUCAUACUCGAGUGAAAGGAGAGCUAGAGAAAGGGAGAAAGAGCGACAGAAGAAGGGAUUACCUCCAAUCAGGUCUAAAACAUUGAGUGUAUGCAGUACUACUCUGUGGGUUGGUCAGGUGGACAAGAAGGCAACACAGCAAGAUUUAACCAACCUGUUUGAAGAGUUUGGACAGAUUGAGUCCAUUAAUAUGAUUCCUCCCAGAGGCUGCGCUUAUGUCUGCAUGGUUCAUCGACAAGAUGCAUUUCGAGCUCUUCAGAAACUUAGUUCCGGGUCAUAUAAAAUUGGAUCCAAGGUCAUUAAGAUUGCUUGGGCUUUAAACAAAGGUGUGAAAACAGAAUACAAACAAUUCUGGGAUGUGGAUCUUGGAGUUACGUAUAUACCGUGGGAAAAAGUUAAAGUGGAUGACUUGGAAGGUUUUGCAGAAGGAGGCAUGAUUGAUCAGGAAACUGUAAAUACUGAAUGGGAAACGGUGAAAAGCUCAGAACCUGUUAAAGAGACGGUCCAGACAACUCAGAGCCCACCUCCAGCUGAAAAGGAGACAGUGGUCACAACCCAGGCAGAGGUUUUCCCUCCACCUGUUGCUAUGUUACAGAUUCCAGUAGCUCCAGCAGUGCCUGCGGUUAAUUUAGUACCACCAGCAUUUCCCGUGUCAAUGCCAGUUCCUCCUCCCGGCUUCAGUCCACUCCCUCCGCCUCCUUUUCUCCGAGCAAGUUUCAACCCUUCACAACCACCGCCUGGUUUCAUGCCUCCUCCAGUUCCACCCCCUGUUGUACCACCACCUACUAUCCCACCAGUAGUACCAACAUCUUUAGUGCAGCCGCCAUUAUCUAUGACUCCAGAAACUGUGAAAGAUGUUGGAUUUGGUAGCCUUGUUUUACCAGGUGGUUCUAUUGCCAGCAGUCUUGCUACUGCCACUCUGCCAGCUGGAAAUGUUUUUAAUCCUCCAACGAAACAAGCAGAGCCUGAAGAAAAAGUACCUCAUCUUAUUGAUCACCAGAUUUCUUCUGCAGAAAAUACCAGAUCAGUGAUUCCAAAUGAUAUUUCAAGUGGCCCUGCUAUUUUAGGACAGCCGCCAAAUGUGACAAGCAAUUCUGGAAUUCUGGGAGUCCAAAGACCAAACGUAUCCAGUAAUAAUGAAAUUCUUGGAGUCCGGCCAUCUAACGUUUCCAGUAGUUCUGGGAUGAUUGGACCCCAGCCACCAAAUAUUCUAAAUAACUCUGGAAUUUUGGGAUUACAGCCACCAAAUGUGUCAAAUAGUUCUGGACUUCUGGGAGUGCUCCCCCCAAAUAUGCCUAAUAAUUCCGGACUUCUCGGAGUACAGCCACCUGGUGUCCCAAGUACUUCUGGGCUUUUGGGAACACAGCCACCAGCUGGGCCUCAAAACUUACCCCCUUUAAAUCUUCCUAAUCAAAGGAUGCCUGCAAUGCCAAUGUUAGACAUUCGUCCAGGACUGAUACCACAGACACCUGGACCACGAUUCCCGUUAAUACAGCCUGGAAUUCCACCCCAGCGGGGACUCCCUCCCCCAGCAGUACUUGAUUCAGCUCUGCAUCCACCACCCCGUGGUCCUUUUCCUCCAGGAGAUAUUUUUAGUCCUCCUGAAAGACCUUUUCUAGUUCCUGGAAGACAAAAUGUAGACAAUGUUCCUAACCCAGAAAAAAGGAUACCACUUGGGAAUGAUAACAUUCAGCAGGAAGGUGACAGAGAUUACCGGUUUCCUCCCAUUGAACCCAGGGAAGCCAUCAGACCUCCCCCGGUGGAUGUUAGGGAUGUGGUUGGACGACCUGUUGAUCCACGAGAAGGUCCUGGAAGGCCUCCGUUAGACGCUAGAGAUCAUUUUGGAAGACCUCCCGUAGAUAUCAGGGAGAAUCUCGUGAGGCCAGGCAUAGAUCAUCUUGGCCGAAGAGACCACUUUGGCUUUAAUCCAGAGAAGCCCUGGGGGCACAGAGAUUUUGAUGAGCGAGAGCAUCGAGUUCUACCUGUCUAUGGCGGUCCGAAAGGCUUACAUGAGGAAAGAGGUAGAUUUCGGUCUGGAAACUACCGGUUUGAUCCUCGAAGUGGUCCUUGGAACAGAGGAUUCGGACAAGAAGUUCACAGAGAUUUUGAUGACCGCAGAAGACCCUGGGAGAGGCAGAGGGACAGGGAUGACAGAGAUUUUGAUUUCUGCAGAGAAAUGAAUGGGAAUCGUCUUGGACGAGAUAGAAUUCAAAACACCUGGAUCCCCCCUCCUCAUGCUCGGGUUUUUGAGAUUUUUGAAGGGGCCACUCCUCAACGAAAAGGUGAUAACGUGCCUCAGGUUAAUGGUGAAAAUACUGAGAGACAUGCCCAGCCACCGCCUUUACCAGCGCAGAGUGAUCCUGAACUGUAUGAAAAACUGGCAUCCUCAAGUGAAAUAAACAAGAAGAGUGACACAGUUGCUGAUAUAGAGAGUGAACCAGUGGUAGAAAGCACAGAAACUGAGGGGACAUAAUCAUCACUCAGUAGGACAGAAUGACUCGGAAGAUAAUGGAGCUUCGAAGUCUAGCAGGAUAUGAAGUCUUUCCUCUUCUGGUUUAAAUUUAAGAAGGAGCUGGUAGACAGAUAAGCCAACAGCAGGUCUCCACCACUGCCUGUCAGUCACUGCUGUGUUCACCGUGCCCUCGGGAUGGUGCUGGGGAGACACACAAGUCCCUCUAGUACUUCCUCAGGACGGCGUGUUUCUCAUUACCUCAUCACAGUGAAAAGAAGAUGGAUUUCUCAACCACUUCCUCCUGCAGGAGGAGCUGGAAAAGUGCUGUGAAGUGGCUCGUGCAAGCUCCUGGAAUGGCUGAAAGAAACUAUUUGCAUUGGGCCAGUGAUCUUCAGAAAGCAAAGCUGCAGCAUCCCUUGAAAAGGCUACCCGACCCCCCCCCCGCCCCCCUCUCCCCGCCCAAACCCGACCCCCACCCCGGGAAAUCUCGACUUUUCCAAAGUUAGCCUGACCUGCUGGCAACACUGCCUGCAGUGCCGGGAGACGCUGGGCUGGCGUGAGUGUGGUCUUUGUUUACUGGAUCCUGGGGCGCUGGGAGGGAGGUGCAUGGAGCCUGUUAAUUCGGGGCAUGAAGUAAUAGAAAAGCUCUUAGAGGAAGUAACCAUCACUCGAAUCCUCCUUCUCGCCCACAAAGAGGCCGUAAAAGUGAAUUUGAGCUCCGUGGAGAUAGGUAUGAAAUGUAGCCAUUCUUGAGUGGUAUUACCAUUGUGUGUGUGUCUAAUGUCAUUUCUGUAACCAGCGGGGCCCAGGCUGAGGCGGAGAGUUUACUUGGCAAAAAAGACUCUCUUCCCUUAGGUUCUGGGAAAGAGAGAAAAGAGAACAAAAAAAAACCCCACAACUUCCAAAACACAGAGAAAAGUUCCAAACAACUAGAAAGGUGUUUUAAGAAAACUCUGACAUAGGACAGGGGAAGGAUGACUUGCUUGUUAGAGCCUUCGACUCAAUGUCCUGCUACCAGAAAGUCCAACAAAAGAUUCUGGCAACAAAUUUCAAUUCUGCGAACAUUGCUAGACACCCUUUAGGUGCCAGAAAAUAUACAAAAUUACUGGGGGUAAAAAGAUGAAUUGGGUUGAUCCCUUCAAGAAAAUUAGGUUUGAGUAAUUUAAGUAUGAAAAAAAAAGUCUGUAAAAGAAUAUGACAGAACAGUUUUCUUUUUCCUAGGGAGUGGGGUUAUAGCUAAUAUUAUUUUUAACUUUCUAGUAAAUACUUGGAUGCUAUAACUGAAGCAUCUUGGUGGUGAUGAUGUGAGUGGACAGUGAGAACACUGGGGCUUGCCUUUUUUUUAAAAACCAGGCUGUUCUGGUCUUUGCGGGGAUUCAGUUUGAAUAUAUCUUCGGGAAUAGGUAGAUUUGCUUUACCUACUCCCAAAGAUAUAUUCAAACUGAAUCCCCGCAAAGAUUUGCUUUAAUUGGGCCUUUGGUAUUUCUAAAGGGAAGUGAUCUUGCUUAUCAAAGAUGAUAACUUCCUGAUGGUCUCCCAGGCCCCUGGCUCUUUCCCCUCAGCUUUCUUUGCUGAUUGCACUCUAUCUCACGAGAGUCCUGUCUCUCUGCAGUCUUUCCCUCUGCGCAGUCAGCAGAGUCUCAGCCAGGCCCUGGGUUAGACCUUCUUUCUCCCAGCCAGUUAGUUCUCUGUCUUCGUCUCCAGGUCCAAACUGUUCUGAACACUAGUCUCAUAUAUUCUCCACAUGCCCUUCCCAGAUAGAGCCUCCAGUUUCUUCUCCACCCCCUGCCCCACCCUCCACCCUCCAGCUACACUGGUGCUUAAAACCUUCAGAAGGUUCUCAUUGUUCUAAGGAUAAAAUCCAAAAUUCUUAACAUGCCUACAAGAGCAUGCGUGACUGGCUCUUCUGUGGCCUCCUCUCUGGUUCUUCUGUCCUUUCUCCCUCCCUUUCCGACGGGCUCAGCUCUGUCCCACCUCAGGGCUUCAAAUUAACUGCUCCCUUCACCUGCAUUGAUGGAGCCAACUUCAGUCAUCCCUUAGAGCUGGAUUAACUCGUUAUUCUAUGCUCUGCCUCUUAGCAGAGACACAAAAAGCAGUAUUUGUAGAAUGAUUUAUUUGCUAUGCAUCUCCCUCACAUUGUAACGAUGACAUUGAUUAUAUACCCAUGACCUGCUACAGGGCCAAGUGCUGAGUAAAUUCUCCAUAAAUGGAUUAAAAGUCUCCAUAAAUGGAUUAAUAACUGAGCAAGUUUUAGUCCUGGAGGGUAAAAUUUCUCUCCCUAACGACUCGAAUGCUCACCUUUACUACAGACAGAGCUUCAUCUCUGCAGAUUGAUUAUUUUUUUUACUGAAUGGAGUGGGACUAAGAUUGAGGCCUCUCUCACUAGGCACUGAUAGCAUUGCAGCCUGGAUUCUGCUGGGGGUCCUGUUGGGGGGUUUGGGCUCAGGAGAGAGAUGCUCUGGAUGGUUUCACAUCUUUGGGAUCAUUAGUUGGUUUCAGCUCUUUUAUUUUCCCCUUCUACAAUUGCCUUUCUGUUGCCCCAAGAUGUCUGUUCAGUUUUGGUGACCCUCUCAAUGUGGUCACAGCUGUGGUGUGAGAAGCUGGGCCAGGAAGCUGGCCUCCCCCUUGUAAAGCUGUAGGAGAAGAUGCUGAGCCAACUUGCAGCGGAGGGAGUGGGAGUCAGGAACAAAACGGCAGGCAGAGGGGAGAAAGGGCAGUAAGGUGAGAUUCGGAGAGAGAACAGUGGCCGCCGGAACGUGCAGGCAUGUUUGGGGAAGGGAAACCAGACACUGCCUGGACUUUGCUGAGGUUACAUAGUGUGCCUGUCACUGUCAGCUCCAAAUUCACCCUUUUUGCCUUCUUUGUAAAAAGGGGUCUGGGCCUUUUGCGUAGCUUCCUUUGCCAGCUGGUUUGUGGUUUAGCAUUAUCAGUACAGGGCGUCGGGGAGAUCUUGUGAGAGGGCACAACUCUGCCUGCUGGUUGCUGUGACCUCUCUCGACUGGUUCCUGCAAUACCAGGGUUCUGCAGUGCCAGGUGGCAUCCAGUGACCACCGGCUCCUUCUGGCACCUCUUUUGGGUAGUUUUUGCAGGGAAGUGCUUUUCCAUAAGACACUUCCUUUUGAACAGUUUCCCCACACCCAAGGGGGUCGAUAUUCAGUAAGUUUUAGGGGGUGGAUUUCCAGCAAGUUCCACUGGCAUGAGACCACAGUGAUUUUCUUGCACUUGGUGAGCCAGAGCCACCUUCUCCCCAACAGGGUCUGGUCUCAGGCUGGGAUAGAGGAAGGCUCUAUCACAGUCCCAUGGGUUGUGGCUGCCUAAGAAAAUAUUUAUAUGUGCUGUCCCUAUUCUCUUCUGAGUUCUCUUUACUUCUAACUAGUCAACCCUUCAUUGCUCCAAAUCCUGUCAUGUAGUUAAUAAUUUGCUUUUCCUAUUAUUUAUUGUCUGCAUGGGACCUUUCGUUGUGGCAUGCGAAUGCUUCGUUUGGCAUGUGGGAUCUAGUUCCCUGACGGGGGAUCGAACCUGGGCCCCCUGCAUUGAGAACACCGAGUCUUAGCCACUGGGCCACCAUGGAAGUCCCAUUAAUUCUUUAUAUUAAACUUUUACUGCUUAA